GCUAUCACUCCUACGGGAGGCAGCAGUGGGAAUUUUGGACAAUGGGCGCAAGCCUGAUCCAGCAAUGCCGCGUGCAGGAAGAAGGCCUUCGGGUUGUAAACUGCUUUGUCAGGGAAGAAAUCCUUUGGGCUAAAUACCUCGGAGGGAUGACGGUACCUGAAGAAUAAGCACCGGCUAACUACGUGCCAGCAGCCGCGGUAAUACGUAGGGGUGCGAGCGUUAAUCGGAAUUACUGGGCGUAAAGCGUGCGCAGGCGGCUUUGCAAGACAGAGGUGAAAUCCCCGGGCUCAACCUGGGAACUGCCUUUGUGACUGCAAGGCUAGAGUACGGCAGGAGGGGAUGGAAUUCCGCGUGUAGCAGUGAAAUGCGUAGAUAUGCGGAGGAACACCGAUGGCGAAGGCAAUCCCUGGGCCUGUACUGACGCUCAUGCACAGAAAGCGUGGGGAGCAAACAGGAUUAGAUACCCUGGUAG
rnacentral:rRNA from 1 species